rnacentral:lncRNA from 1 species
UCAGAUCCAUUUAGCUGCAGCCGAGUAGGAGAUUGUUGAAGAAAAAACAUUUAUUAAGGUUGGCAAUGGAGAACCUGGCGAUGAUGGCUUGACAGGUUUCAGUAAAAGGAAUCAGUGACAAUUUAUGGAGGUUUGAUCAGGUGGCACCAUUGGGGAGCAUGAGUUGUAUGGGGACAGCUUCAACAAUGGUGAUGGAGCACAGUGCAGUGCGAGGAUGGCAGGUUCCGAGUCAGAGGACUGAAGAUAUUGGAAGGCUGCCUAUGAGAAGUGUAGGAUGGAUAUUAAUGGGCACUGGUGAUGUGAAAGGAUGAACCACCAUGGCUGUGGUGGGACCUCAAAGGGAAGAGAAGGGGGAGCAAGAGGCAGAGGAGCAAAAUUUGUGGUCAGACAAU